rnacentral:rRNA from 1 species
AACGUUCACUGGUUCGGAUUAUUGGGCGUAAGAGCUCGUAGGCGGUUUGUCGCGUCUGCCGUGAAAGUCCGAGGCUCAACCUCGGAUCUGCGGUGGGUACGGGCAGACUAGAGUGAUGUAGGGGAGACUGGAAUUCCUGGUGUAGCGGUGAAAUGCGCAGAUAUCAGGAGGAACACCGAUGGCGAAGGCAGGUCUCUGGGCAUUAACUGACGCUGAGGAGCGAAAGCAUGGGGAGCGAACAGGAUUAGAUACCCUGGUAGUCCAUGCCGUAAACGUUGGGCACUAGGUGUGGGGGACAUUCCACGUUUUCCGCGCCGUAGCUAACGCAUUAAGUGCCCCGCCUGGGGAGUACGGCCGCAAGGCUAAAACUCAAAGGAAUUGACGGGGGCCCGCACAAGCGGCGGAGCAUGCGGAUUAAUUCGAUGCAACGCGAAGAACCUUACCAAGGCUUGACAUGUGCCAGACCGCCGUGGAAACACGGUUUCCCCUUUGGGGCUGGUUCACAGGUGGUGCAUGGUUGUCGUCAGCUCGUGUCGUGAGAUGUUGGGUUAAGUCCCGCAACGAGCGCAACCCUCGUUCUAUGUUGCCAGCACGUGAUGGUGGGGACUCAUAGGAGACUGCCGGGGUCAACUCGGAGGAAGGUGGGGACGACGUCAAAUCAUCAUGCCCCUUAUGUCUUGGGCUUCACGCAUGCUACAAUGGCCGGUACAAUGGGUUGCGAUACUGUGAGGUGGAGCUAAUCCCAAAAAGCCGGUCUCAGUUCGGAUUGGGGUCUGCAACUCGACCCCAUGAAGUCGGAGUCGCUAGUAAUCGCAGAUCAGCAACGCUGCGGUGAAUACGUUCCCGGGCCUUGUACACACCGCCCGUCAAGUCACGAAAGUUGGUAACACCCGAAGCCGGUGGCCUAACCCCUUGUGGGAGGGAGCCGUCGAAGGUGGGACCGGCGAUUGGGACUAAGUCGUACACAAGGUUAAGCCACCC